CGCUGGCUCCAUGCCUAACACAAGCAAGUCGAACGCCCUGGGCAACUGGGGAGUGGCGGACGGGUGCGUAACGCGUGGGGACCUGCCUCGAAGUUCGGAAUAACCGCGGGAAACUGCGGCUAAUACCGGAUGUGGCCUGAGGGCCAAAGGGGAAACUCGCUUCGAGAGGGGCCCGCGUCCGAUUAGCUAGUUGGUGAGGUAACGGCUCACCAAGGCGACGAUCGGUAGCUGGUCUGAGAGGACGAUCAGCCACACUGGGACUGAGACACGGCCCAGACUCCUACGGGAGGCAGCAGUGGG
rnacentral:rRNA from 1 species